CAGUCGCCGCGGUAAUACGUAGGGUGCGAGCGUUAAUCGGAAUUACUGGGCGUAAAGCGUGCGCAGGCGGUUUGUUAAGACAGAUGUGAAAUCCCCGGGCUUAACCUGGGAACUGCAUUUGUGACUGGCCGGCUAGAGUAUGGCAGAUGGAGGUGGAAUUCCACGUGUAGCAGUGAAAUGCAUAGAUAUGUGGAGGAACACCGAUGGCGAAGGCAGCCUCCUGGGCCAAUACUGACGCUCAUGCACGAAAGCGUGGGGAGCAAACAGGAUUAGAUACCCCGGUAGUCCCUGUCUCUUAUAC
rnacentral:rRNA from 1 species